GACGAACGCUGGCGGCGUGCCUAAUACAUGCAAGUCGAGCGAAGUUUUUCUGGUGCUUGCACUAGAAAAACUUAGCGGCGAACGGGUGAGUAACACGUAAAGAACCUGCCUCAUAGACUGGGACAACUAUUGGAAACGAUAGCUAAUACCGGAUAACAGUAUUUCUCGCAUGAGAGAUAUUUAAAAGUUGUUUAUGCUAACAUUAUGAGAUGGCUUUGCGGUGCAUUAGCUAGUUGGUGGGGUAAAGGCCCACCAAGGCGACGAUGCAUAGCCGACCUGAGAGGGUGAUCGGGCACACUGGGACUGAGGCACGGCCCAGAAUCCUCCGGGAGGCAGCAGUAGGGAAUCUUCCGCAAGGGGCGAAAGCCUGACGGAGCAACGCCGCGUGAGUGAAGAAGGAUUUCGGUUCGUAAAGCUCUGUUGUUAGGGAAGAAUGGAUAUGUAGUAACUAUACAUGUAAGAGACGGUACCUAACCAGAAAGCCACGGCUAACUACGUG
rnacentral:rRNA from 1 species